rnacentral:rRNA from 1 species
AUUGAACGCUGGCGGCAUGCCUUACACAUGCAAGUCGAACGGCAGCACGGGGCAACCUGGUGGCGAGUGGCGAACGGGUGAGUAAUGCAUCGGAACGUACCUUUCAGUGGGGGAUAACGUAGCGAAAGUUACGCUAAUACCGCAUAUUCUGUGAGCAGGAAAGCAGGGGAUCGCAAGACCUUGCGCUGAUUGAGCGGCCGAUGUCAGAUUAGCUAGUUGGUGAGGUAAAGGCCCACCAAGGCGACGAUCUGGAGCGGGUCUGAGAGGAUGAUCCGCUACACUGGAACUGAGACACGGUCCAGACUCCUACGGGAGGCAGCAGUGGGGAAUUUUGGACAAUGGGGGCAACCCUGAUCCAGCCAUGCCGCGUGAGUGAAGAAGGCCUUCGGGUUGUAAAGCUCUUUCGGCCGGGAAGAAAUCGCACGGGCUAAUAACCUGUGUGGAUGACGGUACCGGAAUGAGAAGCACCGGCUAACUACGUGCCAGCCGCCGCGGUAACAC